UCGACCUUUUGCAUACACUGGAGACUCUCCCGUGGGAGGCCCCCUGCUCUGGCUUAACAUCCACCUGCCCUAGGAACCCUCCAUCAAGGUCUCUGGCCCCGCCCCUGAACCGCCUAGCCACUUCUCGGCUGCCCCCUUUGGACUUAGUGCCCCUGUUUCGCCCCCCUGCCUUCGGUUACAGAUUUCUGCAACCUAUCCCUUUGGGAUGCUCUAGACUAGCCCUGACACGCCUCUCCCGGCCAAGUGUCUCAGCACCCAACUCGGCAGAUCUCCUGUCUUCUACUCUGCUCGAGCCAGACCCCUCCACCCAACCUGGGGUCCAGCCUGAAGAUCCCAGCCUUUGACCCCUCGGGACUACGGCUGUUGCCCUUACCCCGUAGUCCAUGAGCCUGGGGGGUGGGGGCCCAGGAGGCCCACCCCCACACUCCUCCCUGCCUGCCGCUGUCCCUGGUCUUGGCUUGGGCUUCCCAGGAAGUCGUGGCCUGACCACAAGGCUUCGGAGGAACCCUUUGGUAGCGCAGGAGGGGCACCGCCACUGCGCUGCGAGUUCCUCAGAAACUGGGCGGGGCCGGCAAGGUCCCAGGAGGACUUGGCUUGUCCUCCUUUGUCGAGAAACUGAGGCUCGGGGAGGGGCUCUGAUUUGCAGUGACUGGCAGAUGGGAAGCUCUGGAGGAGACUCACCCUCCUCCUUUUAUUUUGGUUAGAGAGCAGCUCUGCACCCCAAGUGUACUUUGGAGCCCAGUGAAAAGAUGGUUCAUGUGAUGACUCUUAAAGCCUACUGUUUUAUCCUGGGCAGCCCUUCUCUUCCCCAACUUCUUCGUUGUAGAUUCCCCUCCCACUCUCAGUGAAGCAUCUGCUUCACUCACACCUGGGGCUUGGGCGAGGUAGGGAUGGUGAUGUGGGCUAUACUUUGUACAUUUGUGUGUGAUCCAGUGUUCGUGUCUGUAGUAGAAAGGCGUGGAGCAGGUACCUGAUUGAAAUAUGUACUUUUGAAGGAAAGGAAGAGGGAAUAAGGGUUAAGGCUGGUGGGUGGGAAGUCUCAGAGUCUGGAGGGAGUUAGGCAGAACACUGGACUGAUGGAGGGCUUAGUGACUGGCCUCACGCUGGCACACACUGCCCUCUACAGGCAGCUCUCAAGCAGCCUGGCCAGCUCCUCUUCUUGAAGCCCUGAUGCCUGGUUUUCCUGCCUGCCUUCUUGCCUGGUGUUUCCCCCCUCCUGUUUCCCCUUGAAUGCAGGAGGUGGCCCAGAAUCAAUCUUGCUUAGGACUCCCUUGGCUCCCUGAGUUGUGUGUGACAGCAGCUAGUGUUGGUCAUUGAUGUGGUGGUCCCAGGUUGUGUGUGCGUGCAUAUGCACAUAUUUGUGUGCAGAGGAUGACAAAGAUGCAGAGCCAUGCAUGUGCCAGUGGUCAGGGGCCGUGGUCAUUCCAGAGCUGGACCGUGGGGUCCAAACUACCUGGGUUCUAAUUCUACGUCUUCAACUUUCUAGCCUUGUGCUCUUGAACAUGUAAUUAACCCCUCUACCUUGGUUUCUUCACCUGUGAAACAUAAUAAUAGUACCUCCCUCGCAGCGGUGGGGAUUAAAUGAGUGAUCAUGGGUUGGUCAAGUGCUUAGAAUAGUCCCUGGCUUAUAAUAAGCAUUCAUUAGGUGUUUGUUGUUGCUGUUUUUCACCUGAGGGUGCCUGUGGGUGUGGCAGUGCUUUGAAGCCCACAGAUACAUGGCCUCAUUCCUUAUGCCGAUCUUAGAAGUCCUAGACCAGGGAGCACAGAUUAGAAGAGGCACAGGCAGAGCAGGAGAAGAGUUUCACUGGGGAAGCCAGACUCCUAGAUGUUGGCCGUGGAGAGGGGUAGCACCUCCUUUUCUUCUCGCUUGAGCCGGGGCAGGUAGUCCAGGCCCAGAGAAGGUCACCAGGCUGGUCUGGCUCCUACAUGACUUGUCUUCCUGCCAACGUGUCUCCUUGGCAGGCCUCUGGGCAGAGGGAGAUCUAUAAAUAGCUGAUGGGCCAUAUGCCCUCAGCCCCCAUGGAGAGUUUCCUUGGCUACUUGGGAGAGCCACCCCUUUUCCAUCAGGACUGGGGCCUCCUUGUCUUGCUCCUCCCUUCUUGCUGAUACCCUCCCACCCAUCCCUGUGGGGCCCCUUCCUUCCUUUCAUUUACUGAUACCUGUGAUGUAUUGGCCUAAGCUGACUGUGUGAUAAAUGCUUUAUACUCCUUAGACAUACAACAUUCCAACCUGCCCAUUUUACGGAUGGAGAAACUGAGGCUGAGGGGAGUCACUUGCCCAGGGGUACACAGCUUAGAAGGGGCAGAGCUGAGAUUAAUACACAGGAUAUUAGACCCCAGAGCUUUUGUCCUUGCCCACUGCAUUGUAAACUCCCUCCCUCCAACCUGGUGUUCUCAAAUCCUCAUCUGUCUUCUGGAAAACUAGUAGAUGUCACGGAAAUAAGUCAGAGAUUCAUUUCCCAGGCUGAGCCAGCCUAGGAAAGAGUGGGUGCAGGUCUGCCAGCUUCCCUCUUAUUUAUGAGCUCGGUGAGUGCCAGGUCUUGGCAUCCAAGCCUCCGUCUUGCCCUUUGUGGCUUUGGGCCCUACUGAGUCUCAGUUUCCUUGCCUGCACAAUGGGACUAGCCCCAUGCUCUAACCUGGCCAGAUCCUGGUUGUGAAAGCGUGGUGAGUCAGGACCUAGUUGCUUAACCCACGUGGGUUCUCUUCACUGCCAACAUUGACGGUUACUACAGCUUUGUUUUCAUUUUCUGAAGCCCUGAGUUCAAAAUGAAACCAAAUCUAGAUGCCAAAAGGAAAAAAGUAAUAUGCUGAUUGCCAAGCAUCUGCCUCCUGGCCAUUCUCCCUGGAGGACUGGUGCUAGGCUCACGUGAAGCUAAGCGGCAUGGCAGCCCUGCGGAGCUCAGAGUCCACAGCAAGACAGGACUGCAUGUGGACUCCAGGACUACUGCUUCCCAGAUGUGUGAUCUUGAACAAACAGCUCUCCUCUUUGGGCCUCAUUUGACCCAUCUUCAAAAUGAGUUCUGGGAAAAAAAAAAGUGUUGUUGAAGUAUCAUACCUCAUAGAGCAGCAAUGCAUGCAAAGCCUGAAGCAAAGUGCCAAGCACAGAAAACGUGCUCAGCAUACAUGACUUCUUGCCACAGGGUCAGCCCUGUGUCCACAGCUUGCUCGGCCACAGCCAGACAUGUGGGAAUGUUCUCCUCCCCAACUUGCAGGCCCUGCCAAGUAAGGGGCCCAGCCCAAGGAACUCAAUUUCAUAGGGUUUCCCCACUCCUCAACUGGCAAAGUCCUGCUGGGAAAAGCAGCACCUGGUCGGGAAGUGUCAUACUGAAACUGCUCUCUCACCCAGUGCUCCUCAGCACUCCUCUUCCAACUCUGGGGGCAGCCAGCAUUCCCAUGGGAGUCUGUGCUUCUGGGGAGCCCUGAACGGUGGGGUGGAGAGCAUGGAUUCUGCUCUCAGCCAGCCUGGCCUUAAAUCUGUCACUUAAUAAGCAUGUGACCUGGGGCAGGCUUUACUUCCUCUGUGCUUCAGUUUCCUUAUCUGCAAUAUGAGGGUAAUAACAUAUCUGUUUCACUUCUUCAGUAUUUAUCCAGCAGGCAUUUAUUGAGUGCCUACUGUCUACUAGGCACUGAGGACUUAAGGUUCUUCUAGCAGACCUAGGGGAGACAGACAGUAAAUUCACAGGGUCUUUUCAGAUCGUGGUGCCGCCACUUACCAGAUGAGAAAGCACCAUUUAGGGAGCUGGUGGAACUUGGUGAAGGUGUUUUGGGGGAGCCACACUUCACUGUGUGUGCUAGACGGGAGUCCCAGCCCCUCCCAACAGCAGGGAAGAUUAUGUGCUUUAGUGGAGGGGGGCUUUGCAGCUAGCUGGGGACACUUGAGGCCAAGAGGAAGCUUCUCCUCUUGGGCAGAGGAGACCGAAAGGCCAGGGAGUGACGACACGAGCCGGCGGCCGGACUCCAGCGUGAUGACAGGCUGGCUCCUCCGCAGUCCUGGGGAGACGUGAUGAGAACCUUCCAGCAGGCCCAUUUAUCCCCGCGUGACAGAGCCAACAAAUCUUCGCUGAGCACUUGCUGUCCUACUAGAUGCUUCACUGAUGCACAUUUCUUUUCUCUCCCUUAAUUUACUUUAUUAUUUCCUUGUAUAAAAUAACUAAAGCAUUUUCCCUCCCAAGACGUGUG